GUGAGGAAUAUUGGUCAAUGGACGUAAGUCCGAACCAGCCAAGUAGCGUGCAGGAAGACGGCCCUAUGGGUUGUAAACUGCUUUUAUGCGGGGGUAAAGUGAGUGACGUGUCAUUCAUUGCAAGUACCGCAAGAAUAUGGACCGGCUAAUUCCGUGCCAGCAGCCGCGGUAAUACGGAAGGUCCUGGUGUUAUCCGGAUUUAUUGGGUUUAAAGGGAGCGUAGGCCGUCAGGCAAGCGUGUUGUGAAAUGUCGUGGCUCAACCAUGGACUUGCAGCGCGAACUGCCCGACUUGAGUGCGCGGAAAGCAGGCGGAAUUUGUGGUGUAGCGGUGAAAUGCUUAGAUAUCACGAAGAACCCCGAUUGCGAAGGCAGCCUGCUGUAGCGCUACUGACGCUGAAGCUCGAAAGUGCGGGUAUCGAACAGGAUUAGAAACCCUUGUAGUCC
rnacentral:rRNA from 1 species